GCAUAUCAAUAAGCGGAGGAAAAGAAACCAACAGGGAUUGCCUCAGUAACGGCGAAGUGAAGCGGCAACAGCUCAAAUUUGAAAUCUGGCCCCAGGCCCGAGUUGUAAUUUGCAGAGGAUGCUUUUGGCGCGGUGCCUUCCGAGUUCCCUGGAACGGGACGCCAUAGAGGGUGAGAGCCCCGUCUGGUUGGACACCAAGCCUUUGUAAAGCUCCUUCGACGAGUCGAGUAGUUUGGGAAUGCUGCUCUAAAUGGGAGGUACAUGUCUUCUAAAGCUAAAUACCGGCCAGAGACCGAUAGCGCACAAGUAGAGUGAUCGAAAGAUGAAAAGCACUUUGGAAAGAGAGUUAAACAGCACGUGAAAUUGUUAAAAGGGAAGCGUUUAUGACCAGACGUGGGCCGGUUAAUCAUCCAGCGUUCUCGCUGGUGCACUUUGCCGGUCCAGGCCAGCAUCAGUUCGCUGCGGGGGAUAAAGGCUUUGGGAAUGUAGCUCCUCGGAGUGUUAUAGCCCUCUGCGUAAUACCCUGCGGCGGACUGAGGUUCGCGCUCUGCAAGGAUGCUGGCGUAAUGGUCAUCAACGACCCGUCUUGAAACACGGACCAAGGAGUCGUCUUCGUAUGCGAGUGUUCGGGUGUAAAACCCCUACGCGAAAUGAAAGUGAACGCAGGUGAGAGCUUCGGCGCAUCAUCGACCGAUCCUGAUGUUCUCGGAUGGAUUUGAGUAAGAGCAUACGGGGCCGGACCCGAAAGAAGGUGAACUAUGCCUGUAUAGGGUGAAGCCAGAGGAAACUCUGGUGGAGGCUCGCAGCGGUUCUGACGUGCAAAUCGAUCGUCAAAUAUGGGCAUGGGGGGCGAAAGACUAAUCGAACCUUCUAGUAGCUGGUUUCCGCCGAAG
rnacentral:rRNA from 1 species